rnacentral:piRNA from 1 species
UAAAUCUUCUUUUGAACGUGC